UACGAGGGGGGCGAGCGUUGUUCGGAGUUACUGGGCGUAAAGCGUGCGUAGGCGGUGUCUUAAGUUUGUUGUGAAAUCUCCCGGCUUAACCGGGAGGGUGCGGCGAAUACUGAGAUGCUGGAGUGCCGGAGAGGUAAGCGGAAUUCCUGGUGUAGCGGUGAAAUGCGUAGAUAUCAGGAGGAACACCUGCGGUGUAGACGGCUUACUGGACGGUAACUGACGCUGAGGCACGAAAGCGUGGGUAGCAAACAGG
rnacentral:rRNA from 1 species